rnacentral:rRNA from 1 species
AGCGGCGAACGGGUGAGUAACACGUAGGUGAUCUGCCCAUCAGACGGGGACAACGAUUGGAAACGAUCGCUAAUACCGGAUAGGACGAAAGUUUAAAGGUGCUUCUGGCACCGCUGAUGGAUGAGCCUGCGGCGCAUUAGCUAGUUGGUAGGGUAAAGGCCUACCAAGGCGACGAUGCGUAGCCGACCUGAGAGGGUGAACGGCCACACUGGGACUGAGACACGGCCCAGACUCCUACGGGAGGCAGCAGUAGGGAAUCUUCGGCAAUGGGCGAAAGCCUGACCGAGCAACGCCGCGUGAAUGAUGAAGGCCUUCGGGUUGUAAAAUUCUGUUAUAAGGGAAGAACGACUUUAGUAGGAAAUGGCUAAAGUGUGACGGUACCUUAUGAGAAAGCCACGGCUAACUACGUGCCAGCAGCCGCGGUAAUACGUAGGUGGCGAGCGUUAUCCGGAAUUAUUGGGCGUAAAGAGCGCGCAGGUGGUUGAUUAAGUCUGAUGUGAAAGCCCACGGCUUAACCGUGGAGGGUCAUUGGAAACUGGUCGACUUGAGUGCAGAAGAGGGAAGUGGAAUUCCAUGUGUAGCGGUGAAAUGCGUAGAGAUAUGGAGGAACACCAGUGGCGAAAGCGGCUUCCUGGUCUGUAACUGACACUGAGCGCGAUAGCGUGGGGAGCAAACAGGAUUAGAUACCCUGGUAGUCCACGCCGUAAACGAUGAGUGCUAAGUGU